rnacentral:rRNA from 1 species
GACGAACGCUGGCGGCGUGCUUAACACAUGCAAGUCGAACGGAAAGGCCCUGCUUUUGUGGGGUGCUCGAGUGGCGAACGGGUGAGUAACACGUGAGUAACCUGCCCUUGACUUUGGGAUAACUUCAGGAAACUGGGGCUAAUACCGGAUAGGAGCUCUUGCUGCAUGGUGGGGGUUGGAAAGUUUCGGCGGUUGGGGAUGGACUCGCGGCUUAUCAGCUUGUUGGUGGGGUAGUGGCUUACCAAGGCUUUGACGGGUAGCCGGCCUGGGAGGGUGACCGGCCACAUGGGGACUGAGAUACGGCCCAGUCGGCAACGGUAGGCAACGGUGGAGAGUAUUGCACAGUAAGGGGGAGCCUGAUGCGACAGCGCCGCGUGCGGGAUGACGGCCUUCGGGUUGUAAACCGCUUUCGCCUGUAACGAGGCGUGAGUGACGGUAAUGGGUAAAGAAGCACCGGCUAACUACGUG